rnacentral:rRNA from 1 species
UCGAACGGUAAGUGUUGUAGCAAUAUGACACCUAGAGUGACGUACGGGUGCGUAACACGUAUGCAACCUACCCUUUACAGGCGGAUAGCUCGGGGAAACCCGAAUUAACCCGCCGUGGUAUAAUAGAAUGGCAUCAUUUUAUUAUUAAAACUCCGGUGGUAAAGGAUGGGCAUGCGUCUGAUUAGUUAGUUGGUAGUGUAACGGACUACCAAGACGAUGAUCAGUAGGGGAACUGAGAGGUUGAUCCCCCACACUGGCACUGAGAUACGGGCCAGACUCCUACGGGAGGCAGCAGUAGGGAAUAUUGGUCAAUGGAUGCAAGUCUGAACCAGCCAUCCCGCGUGCAGGAAGAAGGCCCUUCUGGGUUGUAAACUGCUUUUGUCAGGGGAUAAAAUUUCCUUGCGAGGAAAAUUGAAGGUACCUGGCGAAUAAGCCACGGCUAACUACGUGCCAGCAGCCGCGGUAAUACGUAGGUGGCAAGCGUUGUCCGGAUUUAUUGGGUUUAAAGGGUGCGUAGGCGGCCCUGUAAGUCAGUGGUGAAAUAUUUCAGCUCAACUGGAAUUGUGCCAUUGAUACUGCGGGGCUUGAGUACAGAUGAGGUAGGCGGAAUUGACGGUGUAGCGGUGAAAUGCUUAGAUAUCGUCAAGAACACCUAUAGCGAGGGCAGCUUACUAGUCUGUAACUGACGCUGAGCACGAAAGUUGGG